rnacentral:rRNA from 1 species
UACGGGGGGGGUAAGCGUUGUUCGGAAUUACUGGGCGUAAAGGGCUCGUAGGCGGCCAACUAAGUCAUACGUGAAAUCCCUCAGCUUAACUGGGGAACUGCGUGUGAUACUGGAUGGCUUGGAUUUGGGAGAGGGAUGCGGAAUUCCAGGUGUAGCGGUGAAAUGCGUAGAUAUCUGGAGGAACACCAGAGGCGAAGGCGGCGACCUGGACAGGCACUGACACUAAACUACGAAAGCGUGGGGAGCAAACAGG